AGCGGCGGACGGGUGAGUAACGCGUGGGUAACCUGCCCUAUACAGGGGGAUAACAGUUAGAAAUGAUUGCUAAUACCGCAUAAGCGCACGGAGCCGCAUGGCGCUGAGUGAAAAACGAUAGUGGUAUAGGAGGGACCCGCGUCUGAUUAGGUAGUUGGUGAGGUAACGGCCCACCAAGCCGACGAUCAGUAGCCGACCUGAGAGGGUGACCGGCCACAUUGGGACUGAGACACGGCCCAAACUCCUACGGAAGGCAGCAG
rnacentral:rRNA from 1 species